rnacentral:rRNA from 1 species
GCAUAUCAAUAGCGGAGGAAAAGAAACUAACAAAGGAUUUCCCCUAGUAACUGCGAGUGAAGCGGGAUGAGCUCAAAUUUUAAAUCUGGCAGAGUAAUGACUGUCCGAAUUGUAAUUUAGAGAAGUGUUUUCUGUGCCAGGCCGUGUACAAGUCUCCUGGGAUGGAGCGUCAUAGAGGGUGAGAAUCCCGUCUUUGACACGGACUAUAAUGGUGCUCUGUGAUACACUCUCAAAGAGUCGAGUUGUUUGGGAAUGCAGCUCAAAAUGGGUGGUGAACUCCAUCUAAAGCUAAAUAUUGGCGAGAGACCGAUAGCGAACAAGUACCGUGAGGGAAAGAUGAAAAGCACUUUGGAAAGAGAGUGAAACAGUACGUGAAAUUGCUGAAAGGGAAACACUUGAAGUCAGUCACAUUGGCUAGAACUCAACCUCCCCUUUGUUGGGUUGGUGUACUUUCUAGUGAAUGGGCCAGCAUCACUUUUGGCUAUUGGAAAAGGGUUGAAGGAAUGUGGCACUCUGUUUCAGGGUGUGUUAUAGCCUUUGAUCAUAUACAGUAGCUGGGAGUGAGGAAAGCCUUUAUUGUAGGAUGCUGGCAUAAUGGCUUUAAAUGACCCGUCUUGAAACACGGACCAAGGAGUCUAACAUGCGUGCGAGUGUUUGGGUGUUUAAAACCCAUGCGCGUAAUGAAAGUGAAAGUUGGGAAGGCUGUCAUGGCCUGCACUGAUGCCCGGACUUGAGAUUUAUCGACAGUUCUGCGGUAGAGCAUGUAUGUUAGGACCCGAAAGAUGGUGAACUAUGCCUGAAUAGGGUGAAGCCAGAGGAAACUCUGGUGGAGGCUCGUAGCGAUUCUGACGUGCAAAUCGAUCGUCAAAUUUGGGUAUAGGGGGCGAAAGACUAAUCGAACCAUCUAGUAGCUGGGUUCUGCCGAG